AAGCUAGUCCCUCCGUCCGAAAAUACUUGUCAUCAAAAUGGAGAAAAAAAAUGUAUGUAGAACUAAAAUAUAUCUAGAUACACUCAUUUUAUUCAUUUUGAUGACAAGUAUUUUCGGACGAAGGGAGUAUGUA
rfam:Triticum aestivum genome assembly, contig: Triticum_aestivum_CS42_TGACv1_scaffold_322048_4BL